rnacentral:sRNA from 1 species
UUAUCUCCUUUUUGUUAGUUUGGUCACUUACAAUUAUAGAGAUAAAUGCGCUCUUUU